UGGGGGAUAAGGUUCGGAAACGGACGCUAAUACCGCAUACAUCCUACGGGAGAAACGGGGGGACCUUCGGGCCUUGCACUAUCAAAUGAGCCUGAGGUCGGAUUACGUAGUUGGGGAGGUAAUGGCUCACCAAGGCGACGAUCCGUAACUGGUCUGAGAGGAUGAUCAGUCACA
rnacentral:rRNA from 1 species